UGCCUGCUUCAGCAGCACAAUGCUAAAAGUGAACCUAUACAGGUAAGAUUAACAUGGCCCCUUGAAAGGAGGACACACGAGUUGCUGAGGUAUUCAUAUUUAAA
ensembl:snRNA U6 U6 spliceosomal RNA